UACGGAAGGCAGCAGUGGGGAAUAUUGCACAAUGGGCGCAAGCCUGAUGCAGCCAUGCCGCGUGUAUGAAAAAGGCCUUCGGGUUGUAAAGUACUUUCAGUCGUGAGGAAGGUGUUAAGGUUAAUAACCUUAGCAAUUGACGUUAGCGACAGAAGAAGCACCGGCUAACUCCGUGCCAGCAGCCGCGGUAAUACGGAGGGUGCGAGCGUUAAUCGGAAUUACUGGGCUAAAGGGCACGCAGGCGGUUAAUUAAGUUGGAUGUGAAAUCCCCGGGCUUAACCUGGGAAUGGCAUUCAAGCUGGUUAGCUAGAGUCUUGUAGAGGGGGUAGAAUUCCAUGUGUAGCGGUGAAAUGCGUAGAGAUGUGGAGGAAUACCGGUGGCGAAGGCGGCCCCUGGACAAAGACUGACGCUCAUGUGCGAAAGCGUGGGGAGCAAACGAGGAUUAGAUACC
rnacentral:rRNA from 1 species